ACAAAGGAAGAUUCGUUUCUGUUUUACUCGUGAUGAAAAGUUGAGCUAGUUACGUCAAGAACAAUGGCAGAAUUUGUUAAAGCGCAAAUUAAGGGUGACAAAGUAGUUGUGUUUUUGAAGCCGUCCUGUCCUUACUGCGUACUCGCGAAGGAUGUUUUGUCAAAGUAUAAAUUCAAGGGUGGACAUUUGGAGUUGAUCGAUAUCAGCGGACGCAGUGACAUGGGCAGCAUACAAGACUAUCUGCAACAGAUUACGGGGGCGCGCACGGUUCCUCGAGUCUUCAUAGGGGAGAAGUGCAUUGGAGGAGGAAGUGAUGUCGAAGGUCUUGACCGUUCUGGAGAACUGAAAGGCAUGUUGCAAGCUAUCGGAUCUCUGCAGUGAGGGGCGUCAAGAAAGGGUCACAUGAUGCUGCAGCGAGACUUGCGUAUCUGCCGCCUGCUUUGCUGGUAUUCGCUGAGCUCCUGUAGGUAACCUCUGGAGGGCCAGCGCAGACGUUCCACCUGCUCACGCUCCUCAUCUGGCAAAAAAAAAGCAUCAUCGGGACUAAGAAAGUAUUGCGACAACAUCUCCUGGCUGCAAGCAUUUAAACGUUGCGUUAUAUCCGUCCACCAGAUUUCUCUUUAUCUUUCACUUCAAUUGUAAUGUAGGCUGAAAAUGUAAUUGUCUCUAAAAUGUCCAUAUGUGUUUCUCAUUAGAUAAUGCAUGAAGAAAUUAUAAGGUUGCUUUAAAAACCUAAAGGGAGCGUGACGAAAAUAAAACUUUUCCUGUCACUGCUUGCUUGUUGUAUUCAUUGACUCACAAAUCUAUACACCAUUCAUGAGGUGACACUUGUUUUAUUUGUUUGCCAAGUGCAUGUGGAAGGGCAGGAUGUACUAAUAGGGUGUGAAAAUGAUUCAUUCAUUUUAAAAGUGACCUUACAUUUGCUCUUAGUGUUUCUUAACAAAGCUUUUGACUUAAGCCGGUCGUGAUUUGCAUGGGCUUGUCUGCAGCACCAGCUGUUCGGGGCGCUGGUAACUGGUUUUUGUAGCUGUCAGAGAUAAUUAUGUGUGCUUGUGUUCUAAUGCACUGAAACAUCCUUUCCAGGUGGUCGAGCGGACGGCUCACCUGAUAGCUCCAGGAAGUCAGGCUUGUGGCUGAAGAUCAGAAUGAGACAUUUAUAUCUACAUAACUGCGGACACCCCCUUCUAUGAAGGUCCACAUAUUGUGACAUCAUGUUUCUACUGUAGCCGACAGCGAACAAACAGCGUGUUUCGUCACUACCUUCAAAGAGAAGCAGCAGAAAUCUAGAAGCUAUCCAUAGACCCUGUGAUUGGCUGAAGGGAGUGGUCAUACACCUGAAUGUAAUCAUGCUGCUCAAUAAAAGACUGGGACCGAGAUCAGGAGAGCGGGGUUGAGCUUGUGCUGCUUUGUUUGCGCUGUACCUUGGCUAUGGGGAGGACUCGUUGAGAUGUU